GGAGUUAGGAAAUGUAGGCUCGCUAACAUCGUGUCUACUUGACAAAGGCUCCAAAGGAAGCCACGGCUAACUCUGUGCCAGCAGCCGCGGUAAUACAGAGGUGGCAAGCGUUGUUCGGAAUUAUUGGGCGUAAAGAGCACGUAGGUGGAUUUGUAAGUCAGAUGUGAAAGCCUUCUGUUCAACGGGAGAAUUGCAUCUGAAACUGCGAGUCUUGAGUGUAGGAGGGGAGAGUGGAACUUCUG
rnacentral:rRNA from 1 species